AGGACAGUGGCGAAAGGGUAAGUAACACGUGAGUAUCUACCUCCAGGUCGGGAACAGCCCGGGGAGGCGCGGAUAAAUGCCCGAUGGUCCCUUCGGGGUAAAGAGGAAUCGCCCGGAGACGAGCUCGUGGCCCAUCAGCUUGUUGGCGGGGUAACGGCCCACCAAGGCGACGACGGGUAGGUGGUCUGAGAGGAUGGUCACCCACACUGGGACUGAGAUACUGCCCAGACUCCUACGGGAGGCUGCAGUCGAGAAGGAGUCCGCAAUGGGCGAAAGCCUGACGGUGCAAUGCCGCGUGGGGGAUGAAGGCCUUCGGGUCGUAAACCCCUGUCAGAGGGGACGAAAAACAUGACGGUACCCUACAGAGGAAGCCACGGCUAACUACGUGCCAGCAGCCGCGGUAAUACGUAGGUGGCGAGCGUAAUACGGAUAUACUGGGCGUAAAGGGUCCGCAGGGGGUUUGCCGAGUCCGAUGUGAAAGUCCGCAGCUCAACUGCGGAACUGCGUCGGAUACUGGUGA
rnacentral:rRNA from 1 species